CCUACGGGAGGCAGCAGUGAGGAAUAUUGGUCAAUGGGCGCGAGCCUGAACCAGCCAAGUAGCGUGAAGGAUGACUGCCCUACGGGUUGUAAACUUCUUUUAUAAAGGAAUAAAGUGAGGCACGUGUGCCUUUUUGUAUGUACUUUAUGAAUAAGGAUCGGCUAACUCCGUCCCAUCAGCCGCGGUAAUACGGAGGAUCCGAGCGUUAUCCGGAUUUAUUGGGUUUAAAGGGAGCGUAGAUGGGUUGUUAAGUCAGUUGUGAAAGUUUGCGGCUCAACCGUAAAAUUGCAAUUGAUACUGGCAGUCUUGAGUACAGUUGAGGUGGGCGGAAUUCGUGGUGUAGCGGUGAAAUGCUUAGAUAUCACGAAGAACUCCGAUUGCGAAGGCAGCUUACUAAACUGCCACUGACAUUGAUGCUCGAAAGUGUGGGUAUCAAACAGGAUUAGAUACCCCGGUAGUC
rnacentral:rRNA from 1 species